rnacentral:rRNA from 1 species
GACGAACGCUGGCGGCGUGCCUAAUACAUGCAAGUAGGACGCACAGCCUAUACCGUAGCUUGCUACACCAUAGGCUGUGAGUUGCGAACGGGUGAGUAACGCGUAGGUAACCUGCCUAUUAGAGGGGGAUAACUAUUGGAAACGAUAGCUAAUACCGCAUAACAGUAUGUAACACAUGUUAGAUGCUUGAAAGAUGCAAUUGCAUCGCUAGUAGAUGGACCUGCGUUGUAUUAGCUAGUAGGUAGGGUAAAGGCCUACCUAGGCAACGAUACAUAGCCGACCUGAGAGGGUGAUCGGCCACACUGGGACUGAGACACGGCCCAGGCUCCUACGGGAGGCAGCAGUAGGGAAUCUUCGGCAAUGGGGGGAACCCUGACCGAGCAACGCCGCCUGAGUGAAGAAGGUUU